GGGCCGGUAGAUCAGCCUGGUAUACUGACUUGGUCAGGCCGAGGAUCGCCCGCUUGGCAGGUCCGGUCGUGGGACCCUAUUUGCGGGAAGGCACUAACCCUGCUCCGUAGGGCCGCGGGUUCAAAUCCCGCCCGGUCCA
rfam:Archaeon 13_1_40CM_2_52_13 13_1_40cm_2_scaffold_537, whole genome shotgun sequence.